UAAAGCACCAUUUUUGCCUUCCUCCGUAGAUUAACGUGGUGUGUGAUCUGUGCUAGUCUGGGAGCUGAAACCUAGGAGUCUCAGAUAAGAACACUCAGCAGGAAAGUGAAGGAGAGCAAUCAGCGACUCCGGAAUGCAGCGGAUGGGGACGGAUUAUCAGGCGCUUGCAGCAGUUUGUUUGUUGUGCAUGGUAAUGUUGACUUUGAUAAUGGCCCCAGUGAGUAAAGCCGCAGGUGAAAUUGGAGUUACCUCACUUUCUUCAUCUGGAAAACAGUGACCAUUUAGGGUGCAUGGUCUCGUACUAUCAGUUUUGACUUUUGGAGAAGCAAAAAGCAAACCAAUGUGUCUGAUACAUAGUUUCAGACUUGUCUUUUAUAAAUCAUAGCUCUGUGUCUUGUAUGGCCGUGGAUCCCACACCCUUCCAUGCCUUAGGAUUUUUCAUGGGUACAGCUUGUCUCCCAAGAAAGCACAGAAGGCUGC
rnacentral:lncRNA from 1 species